CAGAUGGAAACCUCUAGCAGUCUGGAGUUGGAUGGAAGUCUGCCAGUCUGGGACCCCUGAUCUACAGGAUACAGAGGUUUAAAAUGACCCUCAUUGUCCACCUGAGUGAGUCAUCCAUGCUGCAGGUUGGCCCAUGUCCCAUCUGCUAACAUGGAGGAGGCAGGAUUUAUGACCUAUACUGACCUAUAUACAUCCACAAGGGGGCCAUCUAGAUGAUCUUGGGGAGCUGUCGUGUUGUACACAGUCCAUGGUUUCAACUCA